UUUCUGAUUACGGAAUAUUUUUUAGAAGUCUAUAAACAUUGCUAAUCAAUUUUCUUUUCUUUUCUACCUGGGGAGCCAGUAGUCAUGGGUCAUGCGUAGAGAGACAGAUACAAAACGGAUGCGUAGAGAGAUCAAUACAAAACGGUUGGACGUAAACUAUAAACUUUAUACAGUAUAGCAAAGAGAACGUCAUCAUUAUUUAAGUAUUGAAUUGGUGAAGAUGUAAAUCUAUUAAAACCAUGUCAUACUUUUUCGUGUAGCUGCAUGCUAUCGUUUCCUGUAGUGUUUUGACAUUCUCGUGUACCGUAUGUAUCUAUAGUUCUUGGUUUAAAACAUUCCUGACUGCUAAUGUAGAUGUAUUAUGGUGUUCCUGAGUAACUACUUACUGAAAGAUAAGCCAAGAUUUGACCAGGUUAAACGACCCCUAUUUCGUAAUGGUCGUGUAGCAAUCGCGUUCAUCGUUUCGGUUGGAAUUGCAUUAUAUCCAAUAUACGUGUUCCCAUUGUACCACAUCGAAAAGUACCAGAAAAUUCAGGACGACACAAGAAAAGAAAUUGAUCAAAAAAAGGUUCAACCUGGUGGAAUGCGAGUUUGGUCAAACCCAUUUGAACCCAAGUCCAGCAGAGAUAAGGAUCUUGAUUAAAUUUCCUUAAGCUGUUUUCGCAAGUUACUUUCACCAUGCUAAAGUUAUUGAUUCACAUUAUUCCAGAGUUGACCCUCCUGAUUUGUGCCGUUGGAUACUUCGUUAUACCUAAUUAUGUAUUGGGGUCUAAUAUGCUUAUUAAUUUUCCCAUACAUACUACUUUAAUAUUCUCUUGUGGGUAUGCUAUCUUACAAUUUCUUUUACUGCAUUUUGUAUGGCCAAAAGCAAAAGCAGAAAUUGAAACUGUUCCUACUAUUGGAGUGAAACAACAGACUCCCCAAAAAUCAUGGCGAUGGUUCAAAUCACUUCUCUUGAUUGUUGCUUGUUGGCUCUUGGCACAUAUUCUUUGUGUUUUGUUUGGGGCGGCAGCAUUUACACUGGUUGAAGAAACCACAACAUGGGCUGUUCUGGUUACCUGCCUUAUAACUGUUCCUGCAUUGAGCACGUUAGGUUGUGAUGUCACAUCUUUAUAUCGAGUUAUAGUGUGUGGGAACCAUUCCAAUGAAACAGAAAGGUUUUUAUACUAUCAAUCAGCAGGCACCGCUUUGGGUAGCUGGGCAUCAGCUGUGGUUAUUCCGUUAGACUGGGACAGACCUUGGCAAGUUUGGCCAAUACCUUGUAUAAUUGGAGCAAUAGUGGGGUACGCGGUUGGAAUUAUUACCAGUUGUGUUGUUACCAUUCGUGAAUUAAAAACUGUGAAAGUGCUUUGAGGGUAAACCCAUACAGCACCAACACUUUAACUGUGUUAUUAAAACUUUAGCGAAAUAUGAUGCAAAUAUAAUAAACGAAUCUUUUUCAAUUCA